rnacentral:rRNA from 1 species
CCUACGGGUGGCUGCAGUAAGGAAUAUUGGUCAAUGGAGGAAACUCUGAACCAGCCAUCCCGCGUGAAGGAUGAAGGGGCUCUGCCUUGUAAACUUCUUUUGUCUGGGGCGAAACAGCUCGAUUUAUCGAGAACUGACGGUACCAGAAGAAUAAGCACCGGCUAACUCCGUGCCAGCAGCCGCGGUAAUACGGAGGGUGCAGGCGUUAUCCGGAUUCACUGGUGUUAAGGCGUGCGUGUACGGCAUUGGUGAAAGGCUGUGGCUUAACCAUGGAAGUGCCAUUGAUACUGCAGAGCUGGAAUGAGGUUGAGGUUGGCGGAAUGUGACAUGUAGCGGUGAAAUGCUUAGAUAUGUCAUGGAACACCGAUGGCGAAGGCAGCUGACUGGACCUAUAUUGACGCUGAGGAACGAAAGCGUGGGGAGCGAACAGGAUUAGAUACCCUUGUAGUC